rnacentral:rRNA from 1 species
UACGUAGGGGGCGAGCGUUGCUCGGAAUUACUGGGCGUAAAGGGAGUGCAGGCGGCCGGUUAAGUCGAAGAUGAAAUCCCGAGGCUCAACUUCGGAACGGUCUUCGAUACUGAUCGGCUUGAGGCUAAUUGAGGAGAGCGGAAUUCCCGGUGGAGCGGUGAAAUGCGUAGAUAUCGGGAGGAACACCAGAGGCGAAGGCGGCUCUCUAAACUAGUCCUGACGCUGAGACUCGAAAGCUAGGGGAGCAAACGGG